CCUGGUUGAUCCUGCCAGUAGUGAUAUGCUUGUCUUAAAGAUUAAGCCAUGCAUGCCUCAGUACAAACUGUUGUAGAGUGAAACCGCGAAUGGCUCAUUAAAUCGGUUAUGGUUCCUUGGACCUAAAAUUUUACUUGGAUAACUGUGGUAAUUCUAGAGCUAAUACAUGCAUUUCAGUCGUGACCCGAAAGGGAAAGGACGCUUUUAUUAGAUCAAAGCCAAUCGGCCGGCUCGCCCGGUCGUUCCGUUUUGGUGACUCUGGAUAACCUUGGGCUGAUCGCACGGUCUCCGCACCGGCGACGUGUCCUUCAAAUGUCUGCCUUAUCAACUGACGAUGGUAGGUUUUGCGCCUACCAUGGUUGUAACGGGUGACGGGGAAUCAGGGUUCGAUUCCGGAGAGGGAGCCUGAGAAACGGCUACCACAUCCAAGGAAGGCAGCAGGCGCGCAAAUUACCCACUCCCGGCACGGGGAGGUAGUGACGAAAAAUAACGAUACGGGACUCAUCCGAGGCCCCGUAAUCGGAAUGAGAACAUUUUAAAUCUCUUAACGAUUACCCAUUAGAGGGCCAGUCUGGUGCCAGCAGCCGCGGUAAUUCCAGCUCUAAUAGCGUAUAUUAAAAUUGCUGCGGUUAAAAAGCUCGUAGUUUGACCUGUGCCCCGCGCUGCCGGUUCACCGCUCGUCGGUGUCCAACUGGCAUGCGUGCGGGGCGUCCUGCCGGUGGGCGCGAGCCGACCGCGGCGGCAGGCGCUCUCGGGCCGGGCUCCGGCGGUGAGCAAUCGCAGCCGGGCCUGGUUCUCGGGGGCGUUGCGGCCCCGUGGAAGGCGGACCCCGAUCUCACCCGCCGCGGUGCUCUUAACUGAGUGUCGUGCGGGCCGGCACGUUUACUUUGAACAAAUUAACGUGCUUAACGCAGGCCUUUGUCUGCCCGAAUACUCUUGCAUGGAAUAAUGGAAUAGGACCUCGGUUCUAUUUUGUUGGUUUUCGGAAGUCGAGGUAAUGAUUAAUGGGGAUUGCCGGGGGCAUCCGUAUUGCGACGUUAGAGGUGAAAUUCUUGGAUCGUCGCAAGACGAACCGGAGCGAAAGCGUUUGCCAAGUAUGUUUUCUUUAAUCAAGAACGAAAGUUAGAGGUUCGAAGGCGAUCAGAUACCGCCCUAGUUCUAACCAUAAACUAUGCCAACUAGCGAUCCGCUGUGUGUCUUAGAUGUCACGGCGGGCAGCCUCCGGGAAACCAAAGUCUUUGGGUUCCGGGGGAAGUAUGGUUGCAAAGCUGAAACUUAAAGGAAUUGACGGAAGGGCACCACCAGACGUGGAGCCUGCGGCUUAAUUUGACCCAACGCGGGGAACCUCAUCAGGCCAGGACACCGGAAGGAUUGACAGAUUGAGAGCUCUUUCUUGAUUCGGUGGGUGGUGGUGCAUGGCCGUUCUUAGUUCGUGGAGUGAUUUGUCUGCUUAAUUGCGAUAACGAACGAGAUCCUACCCUACUAACUAGUCGAAACCGGCAUCCCCUGUGCAGCCGGCGACCAACACGCGAGUUUUAGUUUAAAGUCGUCAAAAUGGUGACUCAAAAGAAACAGAAAAAGGCGAUGGAGAGCAUCAACUCCCGGCUUGCUCUUGUUAUGAAGUCCGGGAAGUAUGUUCUCGGACUCAAGCAGACUCUAAAAACAUUGAGGCAGGGCAAGGCGAAACUAGUGAUCAUCGCCAACAAUACCCCUCCUCUGAGGUGAGACUGAGAAGUAGUGUUCCCUUUUAAGUUUUGAAAUCGACUAAUACAGUAAUUAUUCUCAUACAAAGCAUUUUU
rnacentral:rRNA from 1 species